rnacentral:rRNA from 1 species
UAUAAGACUGGGAUAACUUCGGGAAACCGGAGCUAAUACCGGAUAACAUUUAGAACCGCAUGGUUCUAAAGUGAAAGAUGGUUUUGCUAUCACUUAUAGAUGGACCCGCGCCGUAUUAGCUAGUUGGUAAGGUAACGGCUUACCAAGGCGACGAUACGUAGCCGACCUGAGAGGGUGAUCGGCCACACUGGGACUGAGACACGGUCCAGACUCCUACGGGAGGCAGCAGUAGGGAAUCUUCCGCAAUGGGCGAAGGCCUGACGGAGCAACGCCGCGUGAGUGAUGAAGGGUUUCGGCUCGUAAAACUCUGUUAUUAGGGAAGAACAAAUGUGUAAGUAACUGUGCACAUCUUGACGGUACCUAAUCAGAAAGCCACGGCUAGCUACGUGCCAGCAGCCGCGGUAAUACGUAGGUGGCAAGCGUUAUCCGGAAUUAUUGGGCGUAAAGCGCGCGUAGGCGGUUUCUUAAGUCUGAUGUGAAAGCCCACGGCUCAACCGUGGAGGGUCAUUGGAAACUGGGAAACUUGAGUGCAGAAGAGGAAAGUGGAAUUCCAUGUGUAGCGGUGAAAUGCGCAGAGAUAUGGAGGAACACCAGUGGCGAAGGCGACUUUCUGGUCUGUAACUGACGCUGAUGUGCGAAAGCGUGGGGAUCAAACAGGAUUAGAUACCCUGGUAGUCCACGCCGUAAACGAUGAGUGCUAAGUGUUAGGGGGUUUCCGCCCCUUAGUGCUGCAGCUAACGCAUUAAGCACUCCGCCUGGGGAGUACGACCGCAAGGUUGAAACUCAAG